AGUGAACGCUAGCGGGAUGCUUAACACAUGCAAGUCGAACGGCAGCGCGGGGAUGGGUGUGGCGGCGGGGGGCGUACGGGGGAGCAGUGCAGCGGAACGUGCCCAGUAGCGGGGGAGAAAGACGCGAAAGCGCGGCAAAUACCGCAUACGCCCGACGGGGGAAAGAAGGGGAGCGCGAGACCUUGCGCGGUUGCAGUGGCUGAUAUCGGAUUAGCUAGUUGGGGAGGUAACGGCUCACCAAGGCGACGAUCCGGAGAUGGUUUGAGAGGACGACCAGCCACACUGGGACUGAGCCACGGCCCUGACUCCUACGGGAGGCAGCAGUGGGGAAUAUUGGACAAUGGGGGCAACCCUGAUCCAGCCAUCCCGCGUGUGCGAUGAAGGCCUUCGGGUUGUAAAGCACUUUUGGCAGGAAAGAAACGUCGCGGGCUAAUACCCCGAGGAACUGACGGUACCUGCAGAAUAAGCACCGGCUAACUACGUG
rnacentral:rRNA from 1 species